rnacentral:rRNA from 1 species
UAGACGCUGGCGGCGGCUUAACACAUGCAAGUCGAACGAAGUGUUGGUGCUUGCACUAACACUUAGUGGCGAACGGGUGAGUAAUACUUGGGAAUCUGCCUUGUAGCGGGGGAUAACGUUUCGAAAGGAACGCUAAUACCGCAUACGUCCUACGGGAGAAAGGAGGGGAUCUUCGGACCUUCCACUAUAAGAUGAGCCCAAGCGAGAUUAGCUAGUUGGUAAGGUAAAGGCUUACCAAGGCGACGAUCUCUAGCUGGUCUGAGAGGAUGAUCAGCCACACUGGGACUGAGACACGGCCCAGACUCCUACGGGAGGCAGCAGUGGGGAAUAUUGGACAAUGGGCGAAAGCCUGAUCCAGCCAUGCCGCGUGUGUGAAGAAGGCCUUCGGGUUGUAAAGCACUUUAAGCGAGGAGGAAUGGCUCUGGGUUAAUACCCUUGAGCAGUGACGUUACUCGCAGAAUAAGCACCGGCUAACUCUGUGCCAGCAGCCGCGGUAAUACAGAGGGUGCAGGCGUUAAUCGGAAUUACUGGGCGUAAAGCGCGCGUAGGCGGUUACGUAAGUUGGAGGUGAAAUCCCCGAGCUCAACUUGGGAAUUGCCUUCAAAACUGCGUGGCUAGAGUGUGGGAGAGGAAGGUAGAAUUCCAGGUGUAGCGGUGAAAUGCGUAGAUAUCUGGAGGAAUACCGAUGGCGAAGGCAGCCUUCUGGCCUAGCACUGACGCUGAGGUGCGAAAGCAUGGGGAGCAAACAGGAUUAGAUACCCUGGUAGUCCAUGCCGUAAACGAUGUCUACUAGCCGUUGGGGGACUUGAUCCUUUAGUGGCGCAGCU